UCUCCGUUGGUGAACCAGCGGAGGGAUCAUUACCGAGUUAUUAACUCCCAAACCCCUGUGAACCUUCCCAACGUUGCUUCGGCGGGACCGCCCCGGCGCCCUCGUCGUCCCGGAACCAGGCGCCCGCCGGACGACCCAAACUCUUGUUUAAACCCUAGUGGCAUAUUCUGAGUCUCACAAGAAAAAUGAACCAAAACUUUCAACAACGGAUCUCUUGGCUCUG
rnacentral:misc_RNA from 1 species